GACGAACGCUGGCGGCGUGCUUAACACAUGCAAGUCGAACGAGAGCGUAGAGAAAGCUUGCUUUUUCUACAAUCUAGUGGCAAACGGGUGAGUAACGCGUAAACAACCUGCCCUACGGAUGGGGACAACAGCUGGAAACGGCUGCUAAUACCGAAUACGUUCCGAAAGUCGCAUGACUAUCGGAAGAAAGGAUGGCCUCUAUUUAUAAGCUAUCGCCGGAGGAGGGGUUUGCGUCUGAUUAGCUAGUUGGAGGGGUAACGGCCCACCAAGGCGACGAUCAGUAGCCGGGCUGAGAGGGUGAACGGCCACAUUGGAACUGAGACACGGUCCAGACUCCUACGGGAGGCAGCAGUGGGGAAUCUUCCGCAAUGGGCGAAAGCCUGACGGAGCAACGCCGCGUGAGUGAAGACGGCCUUCGGGUUGUAAAGCUCUGUUAUACGGGACGAAUAAUCUUGUGGUUAAUACCCAGGAGAAGUGACGGUACCGUAAGAGAAAGCCACGGCUAACUACGUG
rnacentral:rRNA from 1 species